rnacentral:lncRNA from 1 species
UUCUAAGGCCACGGUUUUUUAAUUUGUUGGUUUACGGAUUUUCCCCAUGAAAAAGUCGGGUCGGUCGGUCGGGAAAAAAAAAGAAAAAAAUCAUCUUUGAAGACAGAAAAAUAUGCAAAAUCAAUAUAUAUUUCACCUUUCUAACAAUAUGUUUGUUAUGCCAUUUUAUCAUCAUUUCUUAAAUUUUAGUUCAAUGAAAUAUUAUUGCUCAGCUGUUAUAAACAUCGCAUGACAUUGUCUAAUAAUUUACAGUAAAAAAAAAAGGAGGGUGCACGGACAAAGAUGAAAUUAAAUCGUCAUUUCAGAAACAAGAAAAAUAGAUUCGCAUAGCUCUUAAUCAAUUCCAGAAAACUUGGUGAAUAAUGAUCUUCAAGCACGAAAACUGAUAAAGAAAAAAAAUGUAAAAACGUCGUACGAAAAUAAGUUUCAACACACGUGUCAAAAACCUAAUAGACUCGUUCAUUGGAAAAACGAGAUUAUCGGGUCAAUCUGUUGUCUCACAUUCUCGUUUUUUAUCCAAAUGGACGAUAAUUUUUUUAUUAUCUAUGAAACAAGAAAAUUCCAAAUGAUUUGUUAAUAUUCAAUACUUCAACUUGAUGCCUUCAACCUAUCCACAUUUGGACAAGUCUAUUUCUAUGAGAUGAUGCAUCUUACGGACUGAUGACAAAUAAGGGAAACGAACUUAUUGUGUAAUUGGUUUUAAACACAGUUUCGUUCCGCAAAAUUAUUUGUGCAAACGACAUUUCAAGGUCAGUUAUUAUGAUAAUUGAUUUGUCUAUAUUUAAAACGUAAACUGGAAGUUUUAUUUUUUCACAACAG